rnacentral:rRNA from 1 species
AACGAACGCUGGCGGCAUGCCUAACACAUGCAAGUCGAACGAGACCUUCGGGUCUAGUGGCGCACGGGUGCGUAACGCGUGGGAACCUGCACUUAGGUUCGGAAUAACUCCCCGACAGGGGUGCUAAUACCGGAUAAUGUCUUCGGACCAAAGAUUUAUCGCCUUUGGAUGGGCCCGCGUUGGAUUAGCUCGUUGGUAGGGUAAAAGCCUACCAAGGCGACGAUCCAUAGCUGGUCUGAGAGGAUGAUCAGCCACACUGGGACUGAGACACGGCCCAGACUCCUACGGGAGGCAGCAGUGGGGAACAUUGGACAACGGGCGAAAGCCUGAUCCAGCAAUGCCGCGUGAGUGAUGAAGGCCUUAGGGUUGUAAAGCUCUUUUACCCGGGAUGAUAAUGACAGUACCGGGAGAAUAAGCUCCGGCUAACUCCGUG